rnacentral:rRNA from 1 species
CUACGGAGGGUGCAAGCGUUAUCCGGAAUCAUUGGGUUUAAAGGGUCCGUAGGCGGACUAUUAAGUCAGAGGUGAAAUCCCACAGCUCAACUGUGGAACUGCCUUUGAUACUGGUAGUCUUGAGUUAUAUGGAAGUAGAUAGAAUGUGUAGUGUAGCGGUGAAAUGCAUAGAUAUUACACAGAAUACCGAUUGCGAAGGCAGUCUACUACGUAUAUACUGACGCUAAGGGACGAAAGCGUGGGGAGCGAACAGGAUUAGAUACCCGAGUAGUCC